GAAAAGCCACGACGUGAGAGAGGCAAAAGUUGGAAAGAAUAGGCAAGCUUGAGAGAGGAAGAAACACCAUUAAUAAAGUUUUGAGUUGUUGCUGAAAAUCAGAGGUGAGAGGGAGGGAUUUGGUUCAAAUAUAGGUGUUUAAUGUCAUAUAGGAUAUAAAAGGUCCCUAACCUUCUUCUUUUCCCUUUUCCCUUACUCCAUUGAUGGAAUUUUUUAGUUUAUGGUUUUAGAAACGGUUGUGCAAACCUCUCUAAAUCG
rnacentral:lncRNA from 1 species